GACGUAGGUGGCGAACGUUAUCCGGAAUUAUUGGGCGUAAAGGGUGCGUAGGUGGCCUGACAAGUUAUCAGUGGCAAAUCGAGGCUCAACCUCGUGGAAACUGGUAAUACUGUUCGGCUUGAGUACAGGAGAGGUUAACGGAACUCUAUGUGGAGCGGUAAAAUGCACAGAUAUAUAGAAGAACAUCAAUAAAGGCGAAGGCAGUUAACUAUUCUGUUACUGACGCUGAGGCACGAAAGCGUGGGGAGCAAAACGG
rnacentral:rRNA from 1 species